rnacentral:rRNA from 1 species
CCUACGGGAGGCAGCAGUCGAGAAUCAUUCACAAUGGGGGAAACCCUGAUGGUGCGACGCCGCGUGGGGGAAUGAAGGUCUUCGGAUUGUAAACCCCUGUCAUGUGGGAGCAAAUUAAAAAGAUAGUACCACAAGAGGAAGAGACGGCUAACUCUGUGCCAGCAGCCGCGGUAAUAAAGAGGUCUCAAGCGUUGUUCGGAAUCACUGGGCGUAAAGCGUGCGUAGGCUGUUUCGUAAGUCGUGUGUGAAAGGCGCGGGCUCAACCCGCGGACGGCACAUGAUACUGCGAGACUAGAGUAAGGGAGGGGGAACCGGAAUUCUCGGUGUAGCAGUGAAAUGCGUAGAUAUCGAGAGGAACACUCGUGGCGAAGGCGGGUUCCUGGACAUUAACUGACGCUGAGGCACGAAGGCCAGGGGAGCGAAAGGGAUUAGAUACCCGUGUAGUC